CCUACGGGAUGCAGCAGUAGGGAAUCUUCGGCAAUGGACGAGAGUCUGACCGAGCAACGCCGCGUGAGUGAAGAAGGUUUUCGGAUCGUAAAACUCUGUUGUUAGAGAAGAACAAGUAGGAGAGUAACUGCUCUUACCUUGACGGUAUCUAACCAGAAAGCCACGGCUAACUACGUGCCAGCAGCCGCGGUAAUACGUAGGUGGCAAGCGUUGUCCGGAUUUAUUGGGCGUAAAGCGAGCGCAGGCGGUCUUUUAAGUCUGAUGUGAAAGCCCUCGGCUCAACCGAGGAAGGUCAUUGGAAACUGGAGACUUGAGUGCAGGAGAGGGAAGCGGAAUUCCAUGUGUAGCGGUGAAAUGCGUAGAGAUAUGGAGGAACACCAGUGGCGAAGGCGGCUUCCUGGCCUGUAACUGACGCUGAGGCGCGAAAGCGUGGGGAGCAAACAGGAUUAGAUACCCGGGUAGUC
rnacentral:rRNA from 1 species